AGAGUGGUUUAGCUGUAGUGAAGAACUGGAGAAAAUUCAGUGCUGAAGCAAGUAGCACUGACAUAUGGCGGAGCUAAAUUGGGUUGGAAGUCUCAGGAAGAAUCCUCGAGGAGUUGGUGGAUGUUGGCAAUGGAUUUCCGUCAUGGAUUCCCAAGGAGGAGCCCCAGAAAUCGCGAUUUCUCCAUUUCAACACGUCCCCACUUGGUGGCACCAUUGGUCCUUAUUACACCACACUUACAACUCCGUUUUUACUAAAAACCACUCAAACUUUUGGGGUCUUUCCGACACAGCCUCUACACAUGAAUGGAAAGAGGAACAAGUAGGAUUUUUUUUGUUUAAUGAGUACAAAAUUAUGGAGAUUUAUCUUAAUGGACUGGCUUCUCUGGGUCAUGGUUUUUCAUCUCUCUUUAAAGUGAAAAAUGUGUAAAACACAAGGAAAUGAUUCUGAACCCAUUUCCAACAGUCACACACUCCGAGUCUGUGGGUAGAAUACUGAUAAAGGAGGAGUGUUUUGUAUGGAAAUGCUCUGUCACGAGGCAAAAUGUGAGGAUUCGUUCUUCUA